AACGGCCAUACCAUGUUGAAUACACCGGUUCUCGUCCGAUCACCGAAGUUAAGCUACAUUGGACGUGGUUAGUACUUGGAUGGGUGACCGCUUGGAAACACCACGUGCCGUU
rnacentral:rRNA from 1 species